UACGUAGGGACCGAGCGUUGUCCGGAAUCAUUGGGCGUAAAGAGCGUGUAGGCGGCUUGUUAAGUCUUGCGUGAAAUCUCGGGGCUCAACCCCGAGCGGUCGUGAGAAACUGGCAGGCUAGAGUGCGGGAGAGGAGAGUGGAAUUCCUGGUGUAGCGGUGGAAUGCGCAGAUAUCAGGAGGAACACCGGUGGCGAAGGCGGUUCUCUGGGCAUUACCUGACGCUGAGGAGCGAAAGCAUGGGGAGCGAACAGG
rnacentral:rRNA from 1 species